rfam:Microsporum canis CBS 113480 supercont1.5 genomic scaffold, whole genome shotgun sequence.
GGUAAGAUGGCCGAGUGGUUUAAGGCGGCAGAUUUAAGCUCUGCUGAGGGAGACCUCUCGUGGGUUCGAAUCCCACUCUUAUCA